rnacentral:rRNA from 1 species
UACGUAGGUGGCAAGCGUUAUCCGGAUUUACUGGGUUUAAAGGGUGCGCAGGCGGAUAUGUAAGUCAGUGGUGAAAUCUCUAGGCUUAACCUGGAAAUUGCCGUUGAUACUAUAUAUCUUGAAUGCUGUGGAGGUAAGCGGAAUAUGUCAUGUAGCGGUGAAAUGCUUAGAUAUGACAUAGAACACCUAUUGCGAAGGCAGCUUACUACGCAGAUAUUGACGCUCAUGCACGAAAGCGUGGGGAUCAAACAGG